CGGGUGAGUAAUGUCUGGGAAACUGCCCGAUGGAGGGGGAUAACUACUGGAAACGGUAGCUAAUACCGCAUAACGUCGCAAGACCAAAGAGGGGGACCUUAGGGCCUCUUGCCAUCGGAUGUGCCCAGAUGGGAUUAGCUAGUAGGUGGGGUGAUGGCUCACCUAGGCGACGAUCCCUAGCUGGUCUGAGAGGAUGACCAGCCACACUGGAACUGAGACACGGUCCAG
rnacentral:rRNA from 1 species